rnacentral:rRNA from 1 species
GCGUUGCUCGGAAUGACUGGGCGUAAAGGGCGCGUAGGCGGAUGGCACAGUCAGAUGUGAAAUUCCCGGGCUCAACCUGGGGACUGCAUUUGAUACGUGGUGUCUGGAGUGGGGAAGAGGGUCGUGGAAUUCCCAGUGUAGAGGUGAAAUUCGUAGAUAUUGGGAAGAACACCGGUGGCGAAGGCGGCGACCUGGUCCUUGACUGACGCUGAGGCGCGAAAGCGUG